rnacentral:misc_RNA from 1 species
AAUUGAUAGACCUGCGUCCUUCUCUUUCUAUUUUAUUUCUUAAUAAAAGAUAUUAAUUUUCUUGAAUGAUAUAUACGGCUCAAAGAGAGCAAAUUACACUUUCAUCAUUUGGAGAAAGUAAUUGGAAGUUAGCAUUCACAAAUACAAUUAUAUUUCUUGGAAUGUGCAUGCAAUUUAUUCAGAUACAAGUUUUUAUCUCCCCCUUUACAAUAAACUCAUUAACUUGGUGGUUGGUAGCACAGGCAAAGACUCAAAUCACCAAACUAGUUUUCAACUAUAAUUGCAAAUUCCCGACCCAGCCUCAAGUUGUAGGUAGGGACUGACAGAGGGCUGUGUGAAUCCAUUCGGAUAUAUCCCACAAAUCUGAUAAGCUAGCUUCAUGUUACUGAAAUCGUUUUGGAGACUGAGAUUAUAUGAGUUUUAACUCUGAUGAGAGCUCGAUCAGGAAAUGUUCUGCUGUUGUCUAGUUGCAGUCCAUCGUAGUAGAGCCUCCUAGCUUAGCUUUGGACCAAACAGGGGUUACAGAGCCUGUUAUUGCAAUUAAUAAUUUCUUAAUUAUAUCUUUCACUUCUUUGCCUACGCAUCCUAGCUCCCCAAGACAUGUUCUCUCUCAGCUCCUCAUUGCAGUUCCUUUCUCUCUCUAACUCUGUGAGCUGAGACUCCCAUUGCUCUUUCCAGUCACCUCUCCCUUCCCUAACCUGAAUAAGAUCCGGAAAUCCCAUCAUCAAUUUCUGAUCAUGAUAAAGAAAUAAAAGGAAAAUGGUGAAACAAAACAUACCAUGUUGUAGUGGAAUUGUUUUCCGGCAAAGAGAGCCAUAUGCAAGCCUCUGUCAUACAGAGCUCUUCUUUUGGGGUCGGACAAGGUCUCAUAAGCCUCCUGA